AGAUGAUGGAGAAAAUGAAGUAGUGACCACUGCUUGACAUUCUGGAUUCAAUAAAAAAAACAGCCUUGGAAAUUAGAUAUGGUGUCUCCUUCUAGAGCAAGUUCAGUCCCCAAAUGAAACAUCGAUGGAGUCUUUAUGAAGAUGAAUUCUGCAAGUACAUAGAUGAGGUGUUCAGAAUGUAUUCUUGAGGACCCCUUUCCAUACACAAGGUAGUCACCAG